rnacentral:rRNA from 1 species
AGUGAACGCUGGCGGUAGGCCUAACACAUGCAAGUCGAGCGGCAGCACAGUAAGAGCUUGCUCUUACGGGUGGCGAGUGGCGGACGGGUGGGGAAUACAUCGGAAUCUACUUUUUCGUGGGGGAUAACGUAGGGAAACUUACGCUAAUACCGCAUACGACCUACGGGUGAAAGCAGGGGAUCUUCGGACCUUGCGCGAUUGAAUGAGCCGAUGUCGGAUUAGCUAGUUGGCGGGGUAAAGGCCCACCAAGGCGACGAUCCGUAGCUGGUCUGAGAGGAUGGGAGACCACACUGGAACUGCGAGACGGUCGAGACUCCUACGGGAGGCCGCCGUCGGGAAUCUUCCGCAAUGGGCGCAAGUGUGACGGCUCUACGCCGCGUGAGUGAUGAAGGACUUCCGAUCGUAAAACUCUCUUAUGAGGGAAGAACAAAUGUGUACUUACAUCUGCACGGCUGGACGGUACCUAAUCAGAAAGCCACGGCUAACUACGUG